GACGUAGGGGGCGAGCGUUGUCCGGAUUUAUUGGGCGUAAAGAGCUCGUAGGCGGUUGCGUAAGUCGGAUGUGAAAACUCAGGGCUCAACCCUGAGACGCCAUCCGAUACUGCGCUGACUUGAAUCCAGUAGGGGAGUGCGGAAUUCCUGGUGUAGCGGUGAAAUGCGCAGAUAUCAGGAGGAACACCCAUGGCGAAGGCAGCACUCUGGGCUGGUAUUGACGCUGAGGAGCGAAAGCAUGGGUAGCGAACAGG
rnacentral:rRNA from 1 species